AGUCGAGCGAGCUUGCCUAGAUGAAUUUGGUGCUUGCACCAGAUGAAACUAGAUACAAGCGAGCGGCGGACGGGUGAGUAACACGUGGGUAACCUGCCCAAGAGACUGGGAUAACACCUGGAAACAGAUGCUAAUACCGGAUAACAACACUAGACGCAUGUCUAGAGUUUAAAAGAUGGUUCUGCUAUCACUCUUGGAUGGACCUGCGGUGCAUUAGCUAGUUGGUAAGGUAACGGCUUACCAAGGCAAUGAUGCAUAGCCGAGUUGAGAGACUGAUCGGCCACAUUGGGACUGAGACACGGCCCAAACUCCUACGGGAGGCAGCAGUAGGGAGUCUUCCACAAUGGACGCAAGUCUGAUGGAGCAACGCCGCGUGAGUGAAGAAGGGUUUCGGCUCGUAAAGCUCUGUUGGUAGUGAAGAAAGAUAGAGGUAGUAACUGGCCUUUAUUUGACGGUAAUUACUUACAAAGUCACGGCUAACUACGUGCCAGCAGCCGCGGUAAUACGUAGGUGGCAAGCGUUGUCCGGAUUUAUUGGGUGUAAAGCGAGUGCAGGCGGUUCAAUAAGUCUGAUGUGAAAGCCUUCGGCUCAACCGGAGAAUUGCAUCAGAAACUGUUGAACU
rnacentral:rRNA from 1 species